rnacentral:tRNA from 1 species
GGUGAGAUGGCCGAGCGGCUAAAGGCAGCGGUUUGCUAAACCGUCGGGCAAUAAACAUGCUCCGGGGGUUCGAAUCCCUCUCUCACCGCCA